ACGACCCCUUUCUUCUUUCUUCACACAUGCAAGUCGAACGGAAAGGCCCCUUUGGGGGUCCUCGAGUGGCGAACGGGUGAGUAACACGUGAGUAACCUGCCCUUGACUUCGGGAUAACUUCAGGAAACUGGGGCUAAUACCGGAUAGGAAUCCUUGCUGCAUGGUGGGGGUUGGAAAGCUUCGGCGGUUUUGGAUGGACCCGCGGCUUAUCAGCUUGUUGGUGGGGUAGUGGCUUACCAAGGCUUUGACGGGUAGCCGGCCUGAGAGGGCGACCGGCCACAUUGGGACUGAGAUACGGCCCAGACUCCUACGGGAGGCAGCAGUGGGGAAUAUUGCACAAUGGGCGGAAGCCUGAUGCAGCAACGCCGCGUGCGGGAUGACGGCCUUCGGGUUGUAAACCGCUUUCAGCAGGGGCGAAGCUUGUGGUGACGGUACCUGCAGAAGAAGCACCGGCUAACUACGUG
rnacentral:rRNA from 1 species